GGGCUGCAGUCGAGAAUCUUCCUCAAUGGACGAAAGUCUGAAGGAGCAAUGCCGCGUGAUCGAUGACGCUUUUCGGAGUGUAAAGAUCUUUUAUCAGGGACGAAUUCGUGACGGUACCUGAUGAAUAAGUCACUGCUAACUACGUGCCAGCAGCAGCGGUAAUACGUAGGUGGCGAGCGUUACCCGGAUUGAUUGGGCGUAAAGGGUCCGUAGGCGGCUCCAAAAGUUCUUGGUCAAAUCUUGAGGCUUAACUUCAAGACUGCCAAGAAUACUCUGGGGCUAGAGACCGGAAGAGGCAAGCGGAAUUGCCGGUGUAGUAGUAAAAUGCGUUGAUAUCGGUAGGAACACCAAAAGCGAAGGCAGCUUGCUAGGACGGUUCUGACGCUCAGGGACGAAAGCGUGGGUAGCGAAUGGGAUUAGAUACCCCGGUAGUC
rnacentral:rRNA from 1 species